GCCUUCUCAAUAAAUAGCUCCAUCAAAAUGGAUAGCGUUUCAGUAUCAAAAUCAGUAGCAUUAUGGUCCUGAAAAUUGGGGAAGUCACUAUCAAUUGCUGCUUCAAAUUGGGUCAGGAACUUAUCAAGACCAUUGUCACCAUCAAGAACAGGCAAGGAUACAACUUUAGCUAGGGAAGCGGUCAGACAUUCCUUCUGCAACAAUCUUAACAAGUCCAGCCCAACCCGUAGCCCUUUAACGAGCAACCCAAACACUUUGAUCCGCUGCUUCAAUAUCUUGGCACCAAUCAAGGGCAGAAGGAGUGCUUCAGAAGAUUGAAUGCUAGCCUUAACCCGUCCAAGCAGCCUAUCCAAAUCUGGAAGCUUGCGAAGAUAUUGAGCAGUGGAUAAUGUAGCAUUGUCAACAAGUUUGUCAACUACAUCAAGCCUAUGAUUGAUUUUCUCUACAUCUUUGAGGGGGUGACAAAUCCAUUUUCUUAAAAGUCGCUUCCCAGGUAAUGUAACACAGUUAUCCAGAUACCUGUAUAAAGUACCUGAUGGACUCCCAUCGACAUUAUUGUUGAAGAUUUCAAGAUUGACAAGUGUCUGUCCAUCCAUUUUGAGGCAACCCUUAUAUACUUCGUAUGAUAGAAUAUCACCAUUAUGUAAGACCUCAUUUAACAUCAAUCGCUCU
rnacentral:misc_RNA from 1 species